UGUCUUUCUUUUCAAGUUGGUUUACUUCUUCCAGGGGAGAAAGACGGAGACAGACACAGCCUGCAGGUCCUCCCACCGCAGCCCGCCCCCCCAGCCUGGGGCCAGCACUCACUCCUGAUCCGUGCACGGCCCAGGGCUGUCCCAUGCAGGUCCGCCUCCACCGUGCUGCGUUGCCAUCCGGCCCAGCCCCAGGUUCCCCACAGUGCCCUCGUGUCUCCGUGCUCAGCCGUGUGGCGCUCCGUCCCACGUCACCGUGCUCAGCCGUGCGGCUCUCCGUCCCGCGUCACCGUGCUCAGCCGUGCGGCUCUCCAUCCUGGCUCUCCCUCUCGGGGUUGGCUCUUGGUGGCAGCCAGGGAAGCGGGGUACCCUCUGACUGAGAGGGCUCUGUAGCCCACUCCCGUGCAGCGAGGACUUCGGUCCGUGUGUCAGGUGGACGGUGACAGUGUCAGCUAGGAAGCCGCCCAUGAAGACCACGGCUGAGGGACGAUGGAAGCUCUGGAGAAGUAUCUGGCAGGUGGCGGACGACCGGCCCCGAGUGCUGGGUUCGGCCUUCUCGGCACGUGGUAGGGGUGGGCGCGCAGAGUCGGUCACCUGCCCCUGAGGAAGGCAGGCCUGGGAACUGGAGCCUGGCGGGCCCCACGUCAGGGACUCACAGGGGGACAGCACGGGCUGGGACCAGGAGGGCGCCUCCGGAAGGUGGUCCCUGCCCCUGGAGCCCUCCUGGGAGCGGGAGCGGGAGCCAGCGGGCUAGAUGCUGGUACGGACCUGCCUGUGCCGUGCGCCACGCCCAGGUGAGGCCCGCUGCGGGUCGGCGCCUCUCCGUGGGCAGCUGUUGCCGCGGCUGUUAACAGGACGUGGUGUUAGCUGAGACACAGUCACUCCUCGGGUGCUUCAGGUUAUGCCACGGAGAACGCCCAGCGGACAUGUCUGAGGUCCCAGGGUGCUGGAGUCAUCAGGACCAUCCGAGAUGGGUGUGACUGUGGAGGACAGCUGUCGCCGGGCUGCUCCGGCUGCGCGUGGCGCGUCUCCAGGCACCGGGCGCCCAGCGACUGUGUUAAUAGUCAUACAGAAAGAGAAAGCAAGAAAGCAAGCCACCAGGUCCAGGACAACUCAAAACAUGGUUGGCCACGUGGGAGUCCAGCACAUUAACCACCACGCCACCCACUGGCCGCCUUGACCGAAACCUUCUGAGGGAAGCAGUUAAGGGUGGGAGGACCGUGGGAGCCAGUCCGGCCUCAUGCUGGCCAGGCCUUACUCCGCCCUUUCCGUAAUGGUGAUCUGCGGAAUGGGCAGGCCGAGCGGGACAGACUGCCCUCCCUCGGCUCCAGCUCCGUGCCGCGUAGAGAAGCAGGCUCACGCUGUCCCAGGGGCAAGAGGAUAAAUUCUCACCCAGUCACCGAGGGAGUAGGACUCCGUGCUGUGGCAGUCCCGGGAACGUGCAGUUCGCAGGGCCCCGGGGUGCUCAGGAGGAGGCAGACUGAUCGGGGUGCGGGCAGCAUUUCAGGGCGGCCACUGUGAAGUGGGACUUGAACGUGGAGGCGG